GGGUUGUGAGGUUAAGCGACUAAGCGUACACGGUGGAUGCCCUGGCAGUCAGAGGCGAUGAAGGACGUGCUAAUCUGCGAUAAGCGCCGGUAAGGUGAUAUGAACCGUUAUAACCGGCGAUUUCCGAAUGGGGAAACCCAGUGUGAUUCGUCACACUAUCAUUAACUGAAUCCAUAGGUUAAUGAGGCGAACCGGGGGAACUGAAACAUCUAAGUACCCCGAGGAAAAGAAAUCAACCGAGAUUCCCCCAGUAGCGGCGAGCGAACGGGGAGGAGCCCAGAGCCUGAAUCAGCAUGUGUGUUAGUGGAAGCGUCUGGAAAGGCGCGCGAUACAGGGUGACAGCCCCGUACACAAAAGCGCAUGUGCUGUGAGCUCGAUGAGUAGGGCGGGACACGUGGUAUCCUGUCUGAAUAUGGGGGGACCAUCCUCCAAGGCUAAAUACUCCUGACUGACCGAUAGUGAACCAGUACCGUGAGGGAAAGGCGAAAAGAACCCCGGCGAGGGGAGUGAAAAAGAACCUGAAACCGUGUACGUACAAGCAGUGGGAGCACAGGUUUACCUGUGUGACUGCGUACCUUUUGUAUAAUGGGUCAGCGACUUAUAUUCUGUAGCAAGGUUAACCGUAUAGGGGAGCCGGAGGGAAACCGAGUCUUAACCGGGCGUUAAGUUGCAGGGUAUAGACCCGAAACCCGGUGAUCUAGCCAUGGGCAGGUUGAAGGUUGGGUAACACUAACUGGAGGACCGAACCGACUAAUGUUGAAAAAUUAGCGGAUGACCUGUGGCUGGGGGUGAAAGGCCAAUCAAACCGGGAGAUAGCUGGUUCUCCCCGAAAGCUAUUUAGGUAGCGCCUCGUGAAUUCAUCUCCGGGGGUAGAGCACUGUUUCGGCUAGGGGGCCAUCCCGGCUUACCAACCCGAUGCAAACUGCGAAUACCGGAGAAUGUUAUCACGGGAGACACACGGCGGGUGCUAACGUCCGUCGUGAAGAGGGAAACAACCCAGACCGCCAGCUAAGGUCCCAAAGUCAUGGUUAAGUGGGAAACGAUGUGGGAAGGCCCAGACAGCCAGGAUGUUGGCUUAGAAGCAGCCAUCAUUUAAAGAAAGCGUAAUAGCUCACUGGUCGAGUCGGCCUGCGCGGAAGAUGUAACGGGGCUAAACCAUGCACCGAAGCUGCGGCAGCGACACUCAGGUGUUGUUGGGUAGGGGAGCGUUCUGUAAGCCUGUGAAGGUGGCCUGUGAGGGUUGCUGGAGGUAUCAGAAGUGCGAAUGCUGACAUAAGUAACGAUAAAGCGGGUGAAAAGCCCGCUCGCCGGAAGAC
rnacentral:rRNA from 4 species